GACAGAGGGUGCGAACGUUGUUCGGAAUUACUGGGCGUAAAGCGCGUGUAGGCGGCAGCGCAAGUCGGGCGUGAAAUCCCACGGCUCAACCGUGGAAGUGCACUCGAAACUGCGCAGCUAGAGUCCUGGAGGGGAAGGUGGAAUGCUUGGUGUAGAGGUGAAAUUCGUAGAUAUCAAGCGGAACACCGGUGGCGAAGGCGACCUUCUGGACAGUGACUGACGCUGAGACGCGAAAGCGUGGGGAGCAAACAGG
rnacentral:rRNA from 1 species